AACGAACGCUGGCGGCGUGGAUAAGACAUGCAAGUCGAGCGCUAAUUUGAAGGUAGCAAUAUUUUUCAAGUUGGAGCGGCGCAAGGGUGCGUAACACGUGGGUAAUUUGCCAUGAAGUUUGGGAUAACUCGCUGAAAGGCGAGCUAAUACCGGAUGUGAAAAUCAGAAAGCAUUUUCAGAUUUUUAAAGUUGGGGAUCGUAAGACCUGACGCUUCUUGAUAAGCCCGCGGCCUANCAGCUAGUUGGUGAGGUAAUGGCUCACCAAGGCUAAGACGGGUAGCUGGUCUGAGAGGACGACCAGCCACACUGGAACUGAGACACGGUCCGGACUCCUACGGGAGGCAGCAGUGGGGAAUAUUGGACAAGUGGGGAAACCCUGAUCCAGCGACGCCGCGUGGGUGAAG
rnacentral:rRNA from 1 species